rnacentral:tRNA from 1 species
GCGGGAAUAGCUCAGUUCGGUAGAGCACGACCUUGCCAAGGUCGGGGUCGCGAGUUCGAGUCUCGUUUCCCGCUCCA